rnacentral:rRNA from 1 species
UACGUAGGGGGCAAGCGUUGUCCGGAAUCAUUGGGCGUAAAGCGCGUGUAGGCGGCUAGGUAAGUCUGCUCUGAAAGCCCGGGCUCGAACUCCGGAAUUGUCCUUUAAGUACUGCAUCGCUAGAACGUCGGAGAGGUAAGUGGAAUUCCGAGUGUAGAGGUGAAAUUCGUAGAUAUUCGGAAGAACACCAGUGGCGAAGGCGACUUACUGGACGACUGUUGACACUGAGGUGCGAAAGCGUGGGGAGCAAACAGG